CCCUACGGGAGGCAGCAGUGGGGAAUAUUGGGCAAUGGGCGCAAGCCUGACCCAGCAACGCCGCGUGAAGGAAGAAGGCUUUCGGGUUGUAAACUUCUUUUAUGAGGGACGAAACAAAUGACGGUACCUCAUGAAUAAGCCACGGCUAACUACGUGCCAGCAGCCGCGGUAAUACGUAGGUGGCAAGCGUUAUCCGGAUUUACUGGGUGUAAAGGGCGUGUAGGCGGGACGGCAAGUCAGAUGUGAAAAUUAUGGGCUAAACCCAUAACCUGCAUUUGAAACUGUAGUUCUUGAGUGCUGGAGGG
rnacentral:rRNA from 1 species